AGUAGGGUUUCAUCCUUCCUUAGCCUCCUAGUUUCUAGACUAGUGAUAACUCCCCCCUUCUUUAAAAAAAUCUUGCCCUCAAGGUGAGGGAAAACUUCUAUGAGCUAUUUUUCUUCUGCCUAAACAAUAUCAUUUAUAUGUUGUCUAUUCCAACAAACCAAGAGUUCCUUUUCCCUUUUUAUCUACUUUUUAUUUUAUCUAGUCUUUAUUUCCCUUGUGUCAAGUACUUUAACAGGUUCAUGUUUAGGCUUUCCUUCUUAACCAUAAGGGGUAAUUUGAGUUCAGGUUGUUUGUUUGAACCAAUCCUUCUUUUGAGCAACAAUACAAGGAAUGUUGGGUGAAAUUAAAAACAAGGGUUCUUGUAGGUUGACUCGCGUGUUAUAGGAUAAGGCAUUACGGUGUUAUGGGCAGCAGCAGCCGCCCUAGUCCCUGCAAUGCAGAAAGGGAAUGAAACGGCAUGGAACCUUCACAUUGCAUUGAAUGCAAUUAACGUUGUUCUCUUCUUGUGGCAAAUCCCCAGUGGAAUUGACAUAGUUUUUAAAGUGUUUGCACUAAAUGGCCUUGAAUCAUAGAGACCUCGAGUGUGAGCUUUAUUACAAUCCAGGCAGGUAUAUUGUCUCUAUAUCAGGUCACUUGUAUAACCUGCACUCGAAAAAAUUUCCAUCCACUUCCACUGUGAUUGUCUGUAUUCUUGUCAUUAGUAUAUAUGAUCAAGCAGAAAGAAAUGCAUUACCAUGCAAUUGAUGCUCCUCGAUCCGUAAGAAAUAGCAUUUGGACAAUGUUGUAGAUUCAACAGAAAUCCUACCAUAACUCUUCUCAUGGUAUCAACUAAUGUUCGGCAAAAGAAUGUCAGAAGUACUUGCUCAAGUUCUUUUUUCUCAGGCUAUGAUUUUACCAUUUCUUUAGAAUCAAAAUUACAGGAAGAGAAUUUGCAAUUUAUUGAAAUGUAGCAGUACUGCAUUACAGUGAAGAAUCUCUCUCUGUUGAAGGAGUUGAGAAUUAGACCAAGGCAAAUUUCUUUCAAGAUCAUUAGAUUACAAGAAAAUUGGUUUAGCUCAUCAGCACCCAUUAGUAUCUGCAUCUGUCCUUCCCUAAUGUGUUCGAUCUGCAAAUCCAACAAAUGUGUUGACCUUCA